UACAGAGGGGGCAAGCGUUAUUCGGAAUUAUUGGGCGUAAAGAGCUCGUAGGCGGUCUGUCGCGUCUGCUGUGAAAACUCGGGGCUUAACCCCGGGCCUGCAGUGGGUACGGGCAGACUAGAGUGCGGUAGGGGAGACUGGAAUUCCUGGUGUAGCGGUGAAAUGCGCAGAUAUCAGGAGGAACACCAAUGGCGAAGGCAGCUCGCUGGGACGGUACUGACGCUGAGACGCGAAAGCGUGGGGAGCAAACAGG
rnacentral:rRNA from 1 species